AGUUUGCACAGCAAUGAUCAAAACACAGGUAGCCGGGAGUUUAUUCAUCAGUUUUUCGGGACCAGCUUUGCACUUAUUUCGGGAGAAACCUACAGACCAUGUUUCCGAUGCAGAAGCAAAGUCCAAGACCAAAGAGUGCCCUAACAGAAGUUCCCUUAAAGCAGAAUUUCCCUAUUAAAAACCCUUCCGGAAGCUGUCGAUACUGGUCGGGACGGGCAAGAGCAGCAACAGCAUGACGGGGGCAUCGUUCAGGACAGAAAAAAUAAAAUUAGGAUUUCUUCGAUAGUUUAAGCUGAACCUGAGCCUUUCGUUGGCAAAAUAAUCGGGAACCAGGAAGAAAGCUGUUGCAGAGAACAUACAAAAUGUGCCUUUUUUCUACGAUCACAUACAAGCA